GUCCUCGUGGCUCAGAGGUUAAGGUGACUGACUGGCACUCCGGAGGUUGUGGGUUCAAACCUUACCCCCGACA